rnacentral:snoRNA from 1 species
UAUGUCCAAUAACCACUUAUAAGUGAGUAUAUACCAUGUGGAUAAUGUGUCUCGGGUGUUUCAGUAUGUGACAUAGCAGAGAGAUGCUAUGCCUAUGUUCAAUGUUUUGGCCUAUGAACAUCUGAAUGAUUAAUACCUUAACGUU